GGAUAUCUGGUUGCAACAUCUGUCACUCCACUAACAUCAGGAUUGAUUCAGCUGCCCUGGGUGUCCCCUUCUCCACCACCUUUUCACUUAAUGUAAUCUGCCUGCUCAUUGAAAGAGGAAGACCAUCCCCAAAGUGGAGGAUCAUUCUUUGGUCAAAGGUAUAGAAGUGGCUGCACUUUCCUAGUAGAACCUCCAAAUAAGCUCUCAAGGAAAAUAUUCACCUGGAAAUCAGCAAUAUACAUGCGAUUUUUAAGAAUUCUGUGGAUAUCUGAUGCUAUAA
ensembl:misc_RNA 7SK 7SK RNA